UGAACAAUUAUUAUCCAAUUUAACUGAUUGAUUGUUUGUUAUUUUUUUCACAUUGCAUGCAAAAAUAAUAAAGAAGUCAAGUUCAGUAAAUUUGGUUAACCACGAGGAUGAACGAAUUCAGAUUGGAAAAGAAGUUAAUUAACAUAGAAGAAGCCUUUUUCCUGUUAACCACCUGCGGAAGAAAAUUUAGUGAAGAAAGCGUGACAUCCAUCUCACACCAGGCGAGCACGACGAAAAGU
rnacentral:lncRNA from 1 species